GAUGAACGCUGGCGGCGUGCCUAAUACAUGCAAGUCGAGCGAACAGACGAGGAGCUUGCUCCUUUGACGUUAGCGGCGAACGGGUGAGUAACACGUGGGUAACCUACCUAUAAGACUGGGAUAACUUCGGGAAACCGGAGCUAAUACCGGAUAAUAUUUCGAACCGCAUGGUUCGAUAGUGAAAGAUGGCUUUGCUAUCACUUAUAGAUGGACCUGCGCCGUAUUAGCUAGUUGGUAAGGUAACGGCUUACCAAGGCAACGAUACGUAGCCGACCUGAGAGGGUGAUCGGCCACACUGGAACUGAGACACGGUCCAGACUCCUACGGGAGGCAGCAGUAGGGAAUCUUCCGCAAUGGGCGAAAGCCUGACGGAGCAACGCCGCGUGAGUGAUGAAGGUCUUCGGAUCGUAAAACUCUGUUAUUAGGGAAGAACAAACGUGUAAGUAACUGUGCACGUCUUGACGGUACCUAAUCAGAAAGCCACGGCUAACUACGUG
rnacentral:rRNA from 1 species